AUCAAUAUAAGUGUUCCGAAGUCAACGGGACGCACAGGUAUCCCGAACUAAAUCUAACAACAUUACUUGGAUCCAAGUGCAGUGUCCGCAACAGCGAAACAGUUACGAUUGCGGAUACUUUGUAUUGAGGUUUAUGAAAGAAAUCCUUCAGGCAAAUCAAUUAGAGAUUCCGCUCACGUACCUUGACGAAUUUCGUGCUGCUGGGUACCCGAGACUUAAGUUGGAAGAAAUAAAAGAGGAUUUGUGUCAAUUUUAUAUUAAGCGCUUUUUCAUGUAGGAUUUGUG